AUUGAACGCUGGCGGCAUGCUUUACACAUGCAAGUCGUACGGUAACAGGCCGCAAGGUGCUGACGAGUGGCGAACGGGUGAGUAAUGCAUCGGAACGUGCCCAGUCGUGGGGGAUAACUACUCGAAAGAGUAGCUAAUACCGCAUACGAUCUAUGGAUGAAAGCGGGGGACCGUAAGGCCUCGCGCGAUUGGAGCGGCCGAUGUCAGAUUAGGUAGUUGGUGGGGUAAAGGCUCACCAAGCCAACGAUCUGUAGCUGGUCUGAGAGGACGACCAGCCACACUGGGACUGAGACACGGCCCAGACUCCUACGGGAGGCAGCAGUGGGGAAUUUUGGACAAAGGGCGCAAGCCUGAUCCAGCAAUGCCGCGUGCAGGAAGAAGGCCUUCGGGUUGUAAACUGCUUUUGUACGGAACGAAACGGCUCUGGUUAAUACCCGGGGCUAAUGACGGUACCGUAAGAAUAAGCACCGGCUAACUACGUG
rnacentral:rRNA from 1 species